rnacentral:rRNA from 1 species
GACAGAGGGUGCAAACGUUGUUCGGAAUUACUGGGCGUAAAGCGCGUGUAGGCGGUCGUGCAAGUCGGGUGUGAAAGCCCUCGGCUCAACCGGGGAAGUGCACUCGAAACUGCAUGACUAGAGUCUCGGAGAGGAUAGUGGAAUUCUCGGUGUAGAGGUGAAAUUCGUAGAUAUCGAGAGGAACACCGGUGGCGAAGGCGGUUCUCUGGGCCUUACCUGACGCUGAGGAGCGAAAGCGUGGGGAGCGAACAGG